GGCCCCAUAGUUCAAGGGAUAGAAUAGAAGUUUCCUAAACUUUAGAUGCAGGUUCGAGUCCUGCUGGGGCUA
rnacentral:tRNA from 1 species